rnacentral:rRNA from 1 species
CCUACGGGAGGCAGCAGUGAGGAAUAUUGGUCAAUGGGCUUACGCCUGAACCAGCCAAGUCGCGUGAGGGAAGACUGCCCUAUGGGUUGUAAACCUCUUUUGUCAGGGAGCAAUUGGCGCUACGUGUAGCGUUAUCGAGAGUACCUGAAGAAAAAGCAUCGGCUAACUCCGUGCCAGCAGCCGCGGUAAUACGGAGGAUGCGAGCGUUAUCCGGAUUUAUUGGGUUUAAAGGGUGCGUAGGCGGAAUGCCAAGUCAGCGGUAAAAUCGCGGGGCUAAACCUCGCUCCGCCGUUGAAACUGGCGGUCUUGAGUGGGCGAGAGGUAUGCGGAAUGCGUGGUGUAGCGGUGAAAUGCAUAGAUAUCACGCAGAACUCCGAUUGCGAAGGCAGCAUACCGGCGCCCAACUGACGCUGAAGCACGAAAGCGUGGGUAUCGAACAGGAUUAGAUACCCUGGUAGUC